rnacentral:rRNA from 1 species
AGAGUUUGAUCCUGGCUCAGGACGAACGCUGGCGGCGUGCUUAACACAUGCAAGUCGAACGGUAAGGCCCCUCCGGGGGUACACGAGUGGCGAACGGGUGAGUAACACGUGAGUAACCUGCCCUUGACUCUGGGAUAACAGCUGGAAACAGCUGCUAAUACCGGAUACGAACCUUCUUGGCAUCUUGAAGGUUGGAAAGCUCCGGCGGUCAUGGAUGGACUCGCGGCCUAUCAGCUUGUUGGUGAGGUAACGGCUCACCAAGGCGACGACGGGUAGCCGGCCUGAGAGGGCGACCGGCCACAUUGGGACUGAGAUACGGCCCAAACUCCUACGGGAGGCAGCAGUGGGGAAUAUUGCACAAUGGACGAAAGUCUGAUGCAGCAACGCCGCGUGCGGGAUGACGGCCUUCGGGUUGUAAACCGCUUUCAUCAGGGACGAAGCUAACGUGACGGUACCUGAAGAAGAAGCACCGGCUAACUACGUGCCAGCAGCCGCGGUGAUACGUAGGGUGCGAGCGUUGUCCGGAAUUAUUGGGCGUAAAGAGCUUGUAGGCGGUUUGUCACGUCGGGAGUGAAAACUCGGGGCUUAACUCCGAGCCUGCUUCCGAUACGGGCUGACUUGAGGAAGGUAGGGGAGAAUGGAAUUCCUGGUGAAGCGGUGGAAUGCGUAGAUAUCAGGAGGAACACCAGUGGCGAAGGCGGUUCUCUGGACCUUUCCUGACGCUGAGAAGCGAAAGCGUGGGGAGCAAACAGGCUUAGAUACCCUGGUAGUCCACGCCGUAAACGGUGGGUACUAGGUGUGGGUCACAUUCCACGUGAUCCGUGCCGCAGCUAACGCAUUAAGUACCCCGCCUGGGGAGUACGGCCGCAAGGCUAAAACUCAAAGGAAUUGACGGGGCCCCGCACAAGCGGCGGAGCAUGCGGAUUAAUUCGAUGC